rnacentral:lncRNA from 1 species
UCAUAGCGCUCCGCACUCUCGAUCCGCACGGCCCCGCCCAUAACGCGGAUAAAAUCCACCUGAAUCGCGUUAAUGACAUGUUUAUCCCGCUAUUUUCUCUGCCCCAGUCCUUUCCAUCUUCCCAAAUUCCCCAAAUUGCGUCGUCCCCAUAGUCCCGUCCACCAUAUCACCUCCAAGCGAUCCCAGCGCCACCGAUCUCCCGUGCCGCCACCACCUCCGCCGCCUCCUGGACAAGAGGCCACCACCAUUGAGCACCACUUCGGCGCGCCUGGUUGCCACCGCGACUCUGGCCUUGGAAGGUCGUCCUACUGUCCUGGAUCGGGGAGGAGGCACGAUUUGGAUCUGGGCGGCGACGGCUAAGCAAGGGCACCUGUGCUAUCGAGGUACAUCUCUUCCCACUCUCCCCGCCUCCCUCUCUCUUCCCCGCCGGGGUCGCCGUGAGCCCGUGACCGUGGACUGGCGGGGAAUGGGGAGCUUCGACAGUGAGGAACGGGGAGCACGGGUGCUCUGCUGGUGGAGGCAUGUUUUGGGACGGGGAGACCUUUGGCCGUGUGGAAUGAAGUGAGCUUUGGAUGCAAACUGAAUUUCAUCUCUCUCGGUUCUUGUUUUCUGCUGAUAGCACAUAAUAACAUUGGUAAUGUUGAGCCGACAAAGAGAAGUAGCAGACUAAUUUCUAUGUCGACAAAUGAUGAUUUGCUCCCCGUAUGUGGUUUCUGGUCAUAUUGGGCUAUGUGAAAAUUGGUUUUUCUCUGUAUUCUCCAUAUGACAUUAUUUUAUAAUCGCUGGAAUAUGAAAAUAGAAUGGUGUGCAGUUCUGCCCUUGUGAGCAAUCUCUGAUGCUUAUAUAUACUAGCAGUAACGUGUAGUAUUAGGUAUGGCAAAGUAAAUUUGCUUCAACAAUCAAUUCCAGCGCAGCAAUUUUUUUAUGGGAUUUCUCUUGCAAUCUGCACUGAAUUUUGUACGCCGAUGCCAGUUUGAUGGUUUUGCUUUGAAUGGUCUUCUCAAGGAAACCGUGUUCAAUUUGUAUGUUUUGCUUUGAACGAGUCUUUCUGGAAAUCUGUAUGUGUACUUAUAUGGCUGGUUGGAAUUGUGCAAAUUGUGAUGGUUUGCUUUCUAUGAGCAACUACUUGAAUGCUGAAAUUUUAUACAGUACAUAUCAUGUCAACAACAUGUAUCUCUUUUUAUUUCACAUGUGGAUAGAGAAGUUGCCAUACAUUGUUGUCCCCUUGGCAAUAUUAUGUAAUUCUCAAAUUAUCUUGCUAUCUUUGCUCAGUAGCAUUUAAUAUGACUAAUUUGAGAUCAGCAAAGAGGAAUGGGCCUGAAGAAAUACUGAUAUUGAGCUAGGUCUGCAAGGCGAUGUAUUGAGCUCUGCGUAGCCUUUGUAUGUGUUUUUGAUUCUCUUUCUUUUUAAACAUAGCCUGUAGAUGUCCUACGGUAUAUGUUAGCACAACUACUGAAGGAUUUGCAGGUGAGCAACUGUUAUAUGAGUUUGGAUGACAGAAUAUCACUAUUACAUCAAAAUCUACGGCUUUAUAUACUUUGUCACAUACUGCCAUAUUUCAUAUAUGACGACCAUAUCAAUCACGUGUUGUUUCUUUUUCAUUCAGAGUGUACAUUGCUUCCAGUGUAACAAGAACAGAAAAUAAGGUACUCUCUAAAUAAUGUGUGAGGAUUCUGAUUCUGUAAUUUGUUUUACUGUUGCUAACUGAGCAUGCUUACAUAAUGGGAUGGUUUGAGUGGAGUUUCAAAGUCAAUCGUCCAUGUUUGCAGUCUCAAGUUACUAUAUGUAUAGUCUGAGACCUAAUAAGUACUGAUCAUUUCAGAAAGUUUCACGUUUCAUACUUAUAAUUGAUACUGAUUGUAUUCAUGUAAUUGGGCCACUUGAUUAUAGUGAUUUUCUAACUAAUAAGUAAGAUGUCCCUGGUUCUGCAUAAAGAUUUAGGCACCCUAAUUUCUUAAGUCUUUGUGGAGUCAGAAGUUUUGAAUGUUUUUGUUCAGAGUCUUUUUGAAAUGAUGAGUGAUGCAUACCUAUUCAGUGUUUUACAUGGUACUGCAAGUGAAGAAAUGAUUUGUACUGAACCAUCUAAUGUGUUAUUGCGUUUCUUUGAAGUCAUGAAUUUGUAGCAAGUGACGCCCUCAUUGGCAUUAUUUUUCUUACAUAUCCAAGAUAGUUAAAGCAUCGUGGGGACCAGGAGGCCAAGCAGUCUGUGGUGUCUCCGUCGUUGUUGCAAAGAAACAUGCCCAAACUUGUAAGCCCAUAUUGGUAUUACUUUCCAUGAAUAACAGUGAUCUGUUAAGAAUUUAUCUGUUAUCUUGCAACAACCAACAAAAUAUAUAUUUAAGAAUGAUCUGUUAUCUUGCCAUGAAUAACAGUGAUAAUUUUGUUGUUGACUCAUGUUAUAUCCUCACAAAUAAAGUGCUACAGGGAACUUUCUCUAUCGGUUCAGGUUGGACGAGCAAGACAACAUACUGCAGACUGGGAACAAGGUGAGAAGAUUAGAUGCAAAUUUAUGUAGCAUAUGUACAGCUACAUUUGUUAAUCUCCUUCUCAAUUUUUCCUUUUUCUUUGCAGAGUAUGUUCGUCAUCAUUGAUAUGUGUUAAUACUCUCCUUGAGAUUGAUUCCUUUGCUUUCGCAAAAAAGCGUCAGAUACAUGGCGAGCUUCAAAAUAUCAGGUUGCAAAUACCAUCGUUGCUUUGGACCUUGCCAUGGAUGGAUGGACACUAAAUGACCACAAAUGCCUCUAGAUUAUUAAUAAGCGUGGUUCUACGUUCAGUGCUUUGGGCAUCUGUUUUGUCUCGGGCUGGUUCUACGUACCUGAUUUUGCUUGGAACAGCCACAGGGGCGAGGAUGUUAUAUUGAUGCAGCUUGGUUUGCUAACUAGCAAUGUUUUGUUUCUUAGACGGACAAACUUGUAUCUCAGAACCUUGAUGAAUUGUUUCAUUUGAUCAGCUUAUGUGGAAACUACUAAUUUUCAUUGCCUCUGUACACACACUUGCAUACCCUUUUUCCUGGUGCUUAUUGGCAAUGGCCCAUUCAUAGGCAUGACCUAGAAGAAAAUAAGAUUGAAGAUGUAUUUUUCUUGGUUGGAAAUAUUACACCCCAAAUUUAAUUCAGUUUGGAUACAACAAUGACUAUUAAGAUUGAAAAAACUGAUGAAUUAUGUUAGUUAUACAGUUUAAGAGGUCAAGGAUGUGAUAUAUGAGAAACAAUUUUGUCCGUUACACAUGAAUAUCUGUAUGGCACUGUGUAUGCUGGCGAGAUGUGUGAGAUGUUGGUCAUAACGUUGUGGAUUCUGG